rnacentral:pre_miRNA from 1 species
AAAAUCACACAUGUAGAUGAGGUGAUGUUACACACUUUGUUUAUCAUAUAUAAAAAUAACAUUUUUUUUGGACAAAUCAUCAAGACAUUUUUCUUGUUCAAACUUUAUUAUUUUUAUAUCUCACAAACGAAGACAAGUUUAGACAAGAUUUUAUAUAUGGUUGUGUAGCAUCGUAUUAUCUACAUGUGUGGUUUU